UACGAAGGGGGCAAGCGUUCAUCGGAAUUACUGGGCGUAAAGCGCACGGAGGCGGACUGUCAAGUCAGGGGUGAAAUCCCGGGGCUCAACCUCGGAACUGCCUGUGAUACUGUCAGUCUAGAGUCCGGAAGAGGUGGGUGGAAUUCCUAGUGUAGAGGUGAAAUUCGCAGAUAUUAGGAGGAACACCGGUGGCGAAGGCGGCCCACUGGUCCGGAACUGACGCUGAGGUGCGAAAGCGUGGGGAGCAAACAGG
rnacentral:rRNA from 1 species